rnacentral:rRNA from 1 species
CCUACGGGAGGCAGCAGUGAGGAAUAUUGGUCAAUGGCCGGAAGGCUGAACCAGCCAAGCCGCGUGAGGGAGGAAGGCGCAGAGCGUCGCAGACCCUUUUUGCCGGGGGACAAAAGGCCGGACUCGUCCGGUCCUGAGGGGACCCGGAGAAAAAGCAUCGGCUAACUCCGUGCCAGCAGCCGCGGUAAUACGGAGGAUGCGAGCGUAAGCCGGAUUCAUUGGGUUUAAAGGGUGCGCAGGCGGGCCUUUAAGCCGGCGGCGAAAUCGAGGGGUUAAACCCCGCAUAGCCGUUGAAACUGGGGGCCUUGAGUGCUGCAGAGGCAUGCGGAAUGCGCGGUGUAGCGGUGAAAUGCGUAGAUAUGGCGAGGAACCCCGGUGGCGAAGGCGGCGUGCCGUACAGCGACUGACGCUGAGGCGCGAAAGCGCGGGGAUCGAACAGGAUUAGAUACCCUUGUAGUC